ACGGGAGGCAGCAGUGGGGAAUAUUGGGCAAUGGGCGAAAGCCUGACCCAGCGACGCCGCGUGAGGGAAGAAGAUCUUCGGAUUGUAAACCUAAGUUAUCAGGGACGAAAUCAAUGACGGUACCUGAAGAGAAAGCUCCGGCUAACUACGUGCCAGCAGCCGCGGUAAUACGUAGGGAGCGAGCGUUGUCCGGAUUUACUGGGUGUAAAGGGUGCGUAGGCGGGCUUGCAAGUCAGGCGUGAAAUCCCGCGGCUUAACUGCGGGGCUGCGCUUGAAACUGUAGGUCUUGAGUGAAGUAGAGGCAAGCGGAAUUCCCAGUGUAGCGGUGAAAUGCGUAGAUAUUGGGAGGAACACCAGUGGCGAAGGCGGCUUGCUGGGCUUUAACUGACGCUGAGGCACGAAAGUAUGGGGAGCAAACAGGAUUAGAUACCCUGGUA
rnacentral:rRNA from 1 species